rnacentral:rRNA from 1 species
GAUCAUGGCUCAGGAUGAACGCUAGCUACAGGCUUAACACAUGCAAGUCGAGGGGCAGCGAGAGGAAAGCUUGCUUCCUGUCGGCGACCGGCGCACGGGUGAGUAACGCGUAUCCAACCUUCCCCAUAGUAGAGGAUAGCCCGGCGAAAGUCGGAUUAAUACUCUAUGUUGUACAACGAGGACAUCUGAAUUGUACCAAAGAUUUAUCGCUAUGGGAUGGGGAUGCGUCUGAUUAGCUUGUCGGCGGGGUAACGGCCCACCGAGGCGACGAUCAGUAGGGGUUCUGAGAGGAAGGUCCCCCACAUUGGUACUGAGACACGGACCAAACUCCUACGGGAGGCAGCAGUGAGGAAUAUUGGUCAAUGGACGAGAGUCUGAACCAGCCAAGUAGCGUGCAGGAAUGACUGCCCUAUGGGUUGUAAACUGCUUUUAUCAGGGAAUAAAGUGAGGUACGUGUGCCUUUUUGUAUGUACCUGAUGAAUAAGGACCGGCUAAUUCCGUGCCAGCAGCGGC